UAAUGUGAGGGAGAUCUGGCUGAUCUGACCAGCUAGGCAGGUGUCUGUCCCCUUCCUCCCUCACCACUCCAUGUGCAUUCCUCCCAAAGCUGCACACACUCAAAGAGGAAGACCACUCAGAGGAGGAUUAUUUCCUCAACCAAAGGUAUACGAGUAGCUGUGCUCUCCUUGUUGUUCUCCAAACAAGCUCUCAAGGCCCAAAUUAUGCCUUUAAAACUUUUGGAUAAUCCAGGACAUUAUCUAGAAAUAAUCUAAAAAAUCCAGGGGCUUAUCACUUUUCCCAUUUUUCCU
rfam:Fukomys damarensis contig117871, whole genome shotgun sequence.